GAAAUGCUCAGCUGUCAUGUAGUCGAACGAACUCUGGUAUUGAUUGGUGCUUGCAUCAUGAUUUACAUUUGAGUGAGUGGCGAACUGGUGAGUAACACGUGGGAAACCUGCCCAGAAGCGGGGGAUAACACCUGGAAACAGAUGCUAAUACCGCAUAACAACUUGGACCGCAUGGUCCGAGUUUGAAAGAUGGCUUCGGCUAUCACUUUUGGAUGGUCCCGCGGCGUAUUAGCUAGAUGGUGGGGUAACGGCUCACCAUGGCAAUGAUACGUAGCCGACCUGAGAGGGUAAUCGGCCACAUUGGGACUGAGACACGGCCCAAACUCCUACGGGAGGCAGCAGUAGGAAUCUUCCACAAUKGACGAAAGUCUGAUGGAGCAACGCCGCGUGAGUGAAGAAGGGUUUCGGCUCGUAAAACUCUGUUGUUAAAGAAGAACAUAUCUGAGAGUAACUGUUCAGGUAUUGACGGUAUUUAACCAGAAAGCCACGGCUAACUACGUGCCAGCAGCCGCGGUAAUACGUAGGUGGCAAGCGUUGUCCGGAUUUAUUGGGCGUAAAGCGAGCGCAGGCGGUUUUUUAAGUCUGAUGUAAAGCCUUCGGCUCAACCGAAGAAGUGCAUCGGAAACUGGGAAACUUGAGUGCAGAAGAGGACAGUGGAACUCCAUGUGUAGCGGUGAAAUGCGUAGAUAUAUGGAAGAACACCAGUGGCGAAGGCGGCUGUCUGGUCUGUAACUGACGCUGAGGCUCGAAAGUAUGGGUAGCAAACAGGAUUAGAUACCCUGGUAGUCCAUACCGUAAACGAUGAAUGCUAAGUGUUGGAGGGUUUCCGCCCUUCAGUGCUGCAGCUAACGCAUUAAGCAUUCCGCCUGGGGAGUACGGCCGCAAGGCUGAAACUCAAAGGAAUUGACGGGGGCCCGCACAAGCGGUGGAGCAUGUGGUUUAAUUCGAAGCUACGCGAAGAACCUUACCAGGUCUUGACAUACUAUGCAAAUCUAAGAGAUUAGACGUUCCCUUCGGGGACAUGGAUACAGGUGGUGCAUGGAUUGUCGUCAGCUCGUGUCGUGAGAUGUUGGGUUAAGUCCCGCAACGAGCGCAACMCUUAUUAUCAGUUGCCAGCAUUAAGUUGGGCACUCUGGUGAGACUGCCGGUGACAAACCGGAGGAAGGUGGGGAUGACGUCAAAUCAUCAUGCCCCUUAUGACCUGGGCUACACACGUGCUACAAUGGAUGGUACAACGAGUUGCGAACUCGCGAGAGUAAGCUAAUCUCUUAAAGCCAUUCUCAGUUCGGAUUGUAGGCUGCAACUCGCCUACAUGAAGUCGGAAUCGCUAGUAAUCGCGGAUCAGCAUGCCGCGGUGAAUACGUUCCCGGGCCUUGUACACACCGCCCGUCACACCAUGAGAGUUUGUAACACCCAAAGUCGGUGGGGUAACCUAUCUCGAGAGUCCUCGUACUCGAACCCUGGG
rnacentral:rRNA from 2 species